UAAUUAAUAAAAUUAAUUUUUUUUUAUUUAAGUAAAGAUUUUAUAAAAGUAUUUUAAUUAUAUUUUGUUUUAGUAUUAAGUAAAAAUAAAUUUAUAGAUUUAUAGUUUAAUAGUAUUGUGAAAGAAUUUUUAAAAAUUUUUAAAAGAAUUUUUUUUAGUACCUUUUGUAUCAGGGUUAAUUAAAAUUUUUAAUUUAAUUUUAAAUUCUCAAAAUUUAUAGAGUUAAUUUUAUUAUUAAUUUAUUAUUUUAUAAAUAUUUAAAAAAUAAUUUUAGUUUUGAAAUUUAAUUCGUUAUAAUAUAUUUAGUUAUUUAAGAUUUAAAUUUAAUUUAAAAUUUUAAAAGUUUUAUUUAUAUAUAAAUAGAAAUUAUUUUAAAUUUAAAUUAUUUUAGGGAUAAGCUUGGAAUUUUUAUAAAAUAAAGUAUAUUUAAUUAAUAAUUUUUAGGAAUAGAAAUUUUUAUUUAAGUUUGUAAAAAUUUAUUAUUUAAUUUUAUUUAAUUUAUUAUAUGUUUAUUUAUUUUUAAUAUUAAAUUUUAUAAAUUAAUAAUUUAUUUAUAGUAAUAAUGAUUAAAUUAGUAUAAUUAAAUAUUUAUAAAUUAUGAAUUUGGCAAAAAUUAUUUUCAUCUGUUUAACAAAAACAUAGUAUUAAGAUUUAUUUAAUAUAGAAUCUGCUCAAUGAAUUAAUUUAAAUAGCUGCAGUAUAUUGACUGUGCAAAGGUAGCGUAAUAAUUAGUCUUUUAAUUGGGGACUAGAAUGAAAGAUUUGAUGAGAAAUAGACUUUAUUGUUUAUAGAAUUAAAAUUUUAUUUUUAAGUAAAAAAGCUUAAAUAUUUUAAAGGGACGAUAAGACCCUAUAAAACUUUAUAAUUUAUUGUAUAAAGAUAUUUGGGUCAUAUAAAUUUUUAUAUUUUAAAUUAUUUUAUUGGGGUGAUAAAAAAAAUUAAUUAACUUUUUUUAAAAUUUUACAUUAAUUAAUGAUUUAUUGAAUUAAAAUUUUUAAUUAUAGGAAAAAGUUACUUUAGGGAUAACAGCGUAAUUAAUUUUUUAAGUUCAAAUUUAAAAAUUAGUUUGCGACCUCGAUGUUGAAUUAAGAUUAGUCUUAGGUGCAAAAUUUUAAGUUAUAGGUCUGUUCGACCUUUAAAUUCUUACAUGAUUUGAGUUCAAACCGGUGUAAGCCAGGUUGGUUUCUAUCUUUUAAUAUUAUUAUUAUUUUAGUACGAAAGGAUUGAAUAAUAAAAUAAAAUUUUUAUAUAAUUGAAUUAAAUUAAUAG
rnacentral:rRNA from 1 species